UUCAUACACGUUAACACGCUCCAUCUCUCUCUCAAUUCCUGUGUCACACGUUUGUUCAAAUUUUCUCCCAAUUUUACUAUUUUUACACCUUCAAGAUUCUUGUCUAUAAAUUGUUUUUACUAAUUUAAUGGUUCAAUCUUUCACUUUUUAGCUUCAAUUCUCAAGUUCUGAGAUUUCCUUAUUUGUCUUCUGUUUUCAAAUGGGUUCCUCUUGUUUUUGAGCUUUAUUGCUUUUUUGCUGUGUUUUAGUCCACAUGGAUUUUUUUCCCUUUUUGUGUAAAUCCCACUUUUUUCAUAGACUUUUCUCUGUUCCAUUUUUCCCAAGUUAGUUCUUUUCCCACCUAAGCAUUCCAAUUUUCAAUUUUUCUUGCUUUUUCCAUGCUUAUCCUAAUUUGGUUUCUUUCUUAGCUACAAAAAGUUAAUCUUUUUCCCCUAUUGAUCAUCAAAUUUUCUCUUUUAGCUACAGAAAGUUGGUAAUGUUCCCCUAUCGAUCAACACCAACUUAUUUACUAGAUAAAAAACAACUGAAACUUGAAAAAAAAUUCAGUCUUGGAAUUUUUGUGUAAUUUGGCAAGAAGGGAGGAUUUAAAGAUUUUAGCUUUGAGAAGAAAAAAAUGCUGAAGUGUUUUUAUAUAUUCAAGGAUAAGUCAAGGUCAAGAAGGAGAGGGGAAUCAGCACCAGAAUUGAGUAAUGAAAGUAGGAGAGAUGGUAAUUCAGAAGGGAAAAGGGUAGCUAAGUCUACAGGUUCAGUUUCAUCUGCUCGAAGUAUACCGGAAAUGUAUAAAGAAAAAGAGCAAAAUUUGAGGGUAUUUUCACUUUCAGCGCUUAAGGAAGCUACAAGGAGCUUCAAUAGGAUGUUAAAGAUUGGAGAAGGUGGUUUUGGGAGUGUAUAUAAAGGUACAAUUCAGCCUGCUAAUGGAAGAGGUGAUCCUAUUGUGGUUGCUAUUAAGAAGCUCAAUACACUUGGAUUGCAGGUAUGAACUAUUCUUUUGAUCUGUGAUAUAUGUGUAAUUUGCUUGAAAAUGUCUGAGCUUAAAGAUUUGAUGUAAUGAGGUAAAAUUUAUUAGGAAUCAGAAGUAAUUGAGUUCAUGGUUUGAAUGUUUGCUUGAGAGAGAUAUAGUAGAAUAGGUCUUUGAAUUUUAUGCUAAUGGGUUGUGGUCUUGUACUAAGAUAUUAUAACAUAAUUGGAUUGAAAUAGCACAAUUUUGUGCCCUUUGAGCAAGAUAACCGAAUAUGUAUGGCGCAUGAUAUCUUAGUUUUGCCUAGAAUCUUGGAAAAACUAUAGGCAGAUGUAUUUUUUUUGUUUUCUGUGUUAAUUAACUUUUUUGGUUGAUAAAUGCGUGAGAAAUAUAAAUUGCCAAAUUAUAGGUUACACGUUGUGCCAUUUGCUUUUAUUGUCUUAUACCUUGUUGUUGUUAUUGUUUGUUUAUUGUGCCCGUUUUAUUGUUCAUCGGAAAUAACUUCUCUACCUUCAUAACGUAAGGUAGGGGUAGGGUUUGCGUACACAUUACCCUUCCCAGACCUCACGUGUGGGAUUUCACAGGGUUUGUUUUUGUUGGUAGAUUAAAACUUGUUACAUUACUUUCUUUAAUGUGUGUGUUAUUCUAAUAUGAUUUUUUUGUGGAACAAAUAUAGUGUAAUGUUCUACUCAAGUGUUUCCAAUCACCUAAUAUUUCGCUUCAUGAUGUUUAAUGAUUUACUUAUGUUAUUUCUCUGGUGAUUUGGGACUAAAUUUCUGAACUACAUUCUUCUAUGGGAUCCGAACUCCACCGGUUCAGCUCUGUGUAUCCUAUGUAUAUUACUCAUAAUCCAGUAUUAGUUUGGUGCUAAGAUGAGUAUAUUUGUGAACUAAUUUAGCAAGCAAAAAUGUUGUCUUUCUUGCUUCUUUUGCAAAGUUCUCUAAUUGAUACAAUGAAUUCCUGCAUUGACUAACACUUUCCUGUUCACAUCCGCUUCUUAUGCACAUAACCUUUUGAGAAUCAGUGCCGCUGUAACUCCCACUGGUCUAGGGUUUAGGAAGCAUAUUCACUCUUUUCUUUGAUGGCCAUCUGCUCUUUUUACUUGUCAUGUUAUGUUGAAGGAACGUAAUGAAUUAAGGAGUUCAACAUCCGCCUUUGUUAUUUGCUUGUGUAUGCCUACUGUCUCUUUAUGUGGUAUAACAUUACAUACCUCAAAUGAGUACCACUUGUUUUAUCUUCGUCGCAUAACCAAUAAAUAUAUCUUUCUGACACUAGCUAAGCCAUUAUUAAUUGUUGUCUUCGCCUUUUCUCGUUUCAUUAUUGGGUUUGCUGUAUGGCUCCUAAAAUAAACGUAGAUAAUUCUUUAUAUAUGCAGGGCCACAGACAAUGGGUUGCAGAAGUUCAAUUUCUCGGUGUUUUGGAGCACCCUAAUCUUGUUAAGCUUCUAGGAUAUUGCGCUACGGAUGGGGAAAGUGGGAUUCAGCGCCUAUUGGUUUAUGAAUACAUGCAAAAUAGGAGCUUAGAAGAUCAUCUGUUCAACAGAGCUGUGCCGGUAAUUCCCUGGAGGACAAGAUUGAAAAUUAUCCUUGGUGCAGCACAAGGAAUGGCUUAUUUGCACGAGGGUCUCGAAGUCCAGGUAUUACUACACAGAUAAAUGAUUGGCACUUCAAAUUUUAUAUCAGUUCACAAUUGCUUCUGUGCUUGUUGCAUGGAGAGUCAUGUAAAUUGACUUUGCCAACAGAGUCAUGUCCUAAAUGUCAAGUGUGUUUUCAGCAGUUCGCAAACACGCUUUGCCUUUUACUGUUAUUAGACAACUGGCAUAUGUCAUGUUCCGUCUAUACUUGCAAAAUGAAACAAAUAAACUUCGUUAAGUCGCGUGUAUCGGUAUUUCCAACUAACCUCUGAAGCCAAGAAAGAAAAAGCAAAGGUGAGUAGCAUGUUAUGAUCAUAAUUAACACCCAUUAAGCUAACACAAUUUGCGCUCCUGAAAGCACCUUUCUUUUUUCUAUCUUCAUAAAAUCUCUUGAACUUUUUUUUUUUUUCAUUUAUCAUUCUUAAUGAAUACUUUUUUUGGUUGAAAUGUGAAGGUGAUAUAUCGGGAUUUCAAGUCAUCAAACGUUCUUCUGGAUGAGGAUUUUAAUCCAAGGCUUUCAGAUUUUGGGCUUGCAAGGGAGGGCCCAGCUGGUGACCACUCUCAUGUGUCUACUGCAGUAAGUGAUGGCGAUAUUGGUUAUCGCAUUAAUGCCAAAUUUUUGUGGUUGACUUCUCUUAGAUGCUAGAAUUUUGAAGUGCUUCCUGCAACUUGUUGCCAUCUAGUUUAUCUUCCUCUCUCCUUUCUUUGCAUUUCACUCGAGGACAAAAUGUGUGACGGUGUUUGUUACACCAACUCAGUACACUUGAACUAUUCCCACGUUUUCACUAGUAUUUGAACUGCCUUUUAAUGUUUCGUGAUCUCUAUGAUGAGCUCUUUCCGGUACCAAGUUGCUGUGCUGUUUGUUUUCCUUGGUUUCUAGUUAUUUUUGUUAACCUUAAUAUUACCUGAUAUAGUUUGUCGUUCUGAGACAUUAUUAAGACUUUAAAUUGCAUAGGUGAAGUCAUACUUUAGCCUUUGAUUCUCGUUGGCUGAUCAAUAUUUUGUAUUUUUUGCUCUUAGCCGGUUGGGACUUUAGGAUAUGCUGCCCCUGAAUAUGUUGAAACUGGACAUCUGUCGGUCAAGAGUGAUAUUUGGAGCUUUGGAGUUGUUCUUUAUGAGAUCCUCACAGGCAGGCGAACGUUGGAAAAGAACCUUCCUGUGAUGCAGCAGAAGCUUCUCGAUUGGGUAAAGCAAUUUCCUGCUGAUACUAGAAAAUUCAGCAUGAUCAUUGACCCAAGGCUUCGAAACGAGUUCUCACUUGUCGCUGCUAGAAGAAUUGCAAAACUGGCCGAUAGCUGCUUAAACAAGAUCGCCAAAGAGCGCCCAAAAAUGAGUGAAGUCGUUCAGAUACUGACACAAGCAGUACAAGAAUCAGAAGAAACAACUUCUUUAGACGUCACAGGUCCAGGGCCAUCUCGGCCUACACAACUUGCUUCACCUAAACAACAACUUAAAAAGAAGACCAUUGCUGAAACUGCACGGCCAAUGCGCCCCAUAGCUCAGGCACGUCUACUUAAACUAUGGUUUUAUACAAUGCAGAAUAAACUAACGUGACUUUUUGUCUUAACUUUCUUGUUCUGCUAUUUCAGGCUUGAAUGCUCAAAAGAUUGCGGAUCAUACUUACUUCAAUCUCAAAACGGAGAUCCUUAUGAACGAAGACAAGUAAAUUUUACUAUAUAUACAGUAAGUAGUAAUAUUCUUUGGUAAAAGAAAUGGGCUCUUCAUAUGUCCCAUUAGAGUUCUUUUUGGUUAAGUAUGUUUGCACUAGGAAGAGUAUGGCAAAAGGAGGGAAGUUUCUUUUUUUAAUUAAAAGUGAUUUUGAAGAAUAUACUUGUAAACUCAGUUUAGGACUUCUAUUCAGUAGUGUUUGUUUGUGUAAAUAAAUCCAUUUGUAUUCCAGGAUUUCAGAGCAACAAAUUUUGUUCCUCUUAUUCCAUUCCUUUCCUUGAGCCAAGGAUCUAUUAGAAAGACGGAAAUAGACUCUUUACCUUUACAAGGUAAGGUUAAAAUAUAAGUAUAUACUAUCCUUUUCAGAUUCCACUUGAAUAAUUACACUGAAUUUUUCGUUCUUGUUUUGAGUGGCACCCCAAAAAUCUUUAACAAUUUAACUCUUGAUCUAUAACAUUAUUUGCAAAAGCAUUAAACCAGUGCCAAAGUGGUAAACUUUGACCACCACUGUGCGAAAGAUUUAAGUUUGUGUAAGUAUUUUUCAACACUAUUAGUCUAUUUAAUUUAUUAUGGUAAAUAGAUUAAAAAAAAUUCUCUCUAGCACCGUGUAAUUUCUCGUGAACAAUAAUAAAUGCUAGAAUUUUAUCUUCAAAAUAUUUUUAAAAAUAAAGAAUUAACCCAAAUAACUACGCACAUAAUCUCGUAAGUUAAAAAUAGUCGACACGCGCGCGCGCGCACACACACAUAUACAUAUAUAUAUAUUAUGUGUGUAUGCGCGUGUAAUCAACUACGCACAUAAUCUCGUAAAUUAACCGACACACACACACACGCAUAUAUAUAUAUUUCUUUUCCCACCUAAGCAUUCCAAUUUUCAAUUUUUCUUGCUUUUUCCAUGCUUAUCCUAAUUUGGUUUCUUUCUUAGCUACAAAAAGUUAAUCUUUUUCCCCUAUUGAUCAUCAAAUUUUCUCUUUUAGCUACA
rnacentral:lncRNA from 1 species